AGAUGGAUUUUCUAAUAUUCACCUUUCUUCAAAAUGAUCCUGAAAGAUGAGUCAGAAGUCCCAUAACUGCUUUCCAUAGGGGGAACUGGGGCCCAGAAAGGUUAAGCAAAUUCCCUACCAGGGCAUCAGAGGAACUCUAGGUUCUCAAGUGGUUAUGGAAAUCUAGUCAAAACGGAAUGAAACUUCUGCUUCCUUAGGUUAUCUUUCCUGUCUGUUUAAAAUUAGAUCCUUUCUAUUUUAUCAGUUCCUAGGAGAUUGUUUUUGACACAUGUAAAUUUGGAGUCCCCUCUAAUUGGAACCAGUUUUCUCCAGGACACCCCAGUCAUUGGUUAUGAGGCCUCUCCUCCUCAUAUAAACAUAGCCCUCAGGACUUGCCUGGUGGUCCGGUGGGUGCACAAAAUUCUUGAGCCAUAUGAUGUACUUCCGUUUUCAUAGAGUGAAGUUAGAAGGACUCUAAGCGAUUUUUUUUGUCCAACCUCUCCACCUUACAGAUGAAGAAAUUGAAUUCAAGUAAGUUCUAACAUGUCUUAGAGCUAUUUCCCUGUCAUUGUGUAUAUAUUUACCUUAUUUUUUUUUUUAAAAAAAGCUGUGUAACAUUCUAUAAGGAUGCAUCUUAAUUUAUUUAGCCGUAUUUCUUUGAGGAAUAUUUUGGUUAUUUCCAAUUUUUUUCCACUAUUAUAAACAAUGCUGCAGUGAAUAACCUUGUACAGGUGUCUUAGUAUUUACUUAGUAUUUUUACAGGAUAGAUAACCAGAAACGAAGUAAAAAAUUUAGUAGAAAUAGUCCUCUUAGUUAAUUGUACCCAUGGCUGCACAUCCUUGCCAACACUGGAUAUUAUCAAACUUUUAAGUUGUUUUCUUUUUUUUUCUUUUUUUUUCUUAUUUUGGUCACGCCCUGAGGCUUGCAGGAUCUCAGUUCCCUGACCAGGGAUUGAACCUGGGCCAUGGCAGUGAAAGCGCUAAAUCCUAACCACCGGACGACCAGGGAACUCCCCGAAUUUAGUACGCGGGCCUCUCACUGUUGUGGCCUCUCCUGUUGCGGAGCACAG